rnacentral:ncRNA from 1 species
GCAUCCGAGGAGCGUUGCAGCAUCCCCAUGCGGGUGUGAGGCUCGGAACCUACGCAACGACGCUCACCCACU